GAUGAAGAACGGAGCGAAAUGCGAUAAGUAAUGUGAAUUGCAGAAUUCAGUGAAUCAUCGAAUCUUUGAACGCACAUUGCGCCCGUCAGUAUUCUGGCGGGCAUGCCUGUUCGAGCGUCAUUACGCCCCUCAAGUCCCCUGUGGACUUGGUGUUGGGGAUCGGCGAGGCUGGUUUUCCAGCACAGCCGUCCCUUAAAUUAAUUGGCGGUCUCGCCGUGGCCCUCCUCUGCGCAGUAGUAAAACACUCGCAACAGGAGCCCGGCGCGGUCCACUGCCGUAAAACCCCCCAACUUUUUAUAGUUGACCUCGAAUCAGGUAGGACUACCCGCUGAACUUAAGCAUAUCAAUAAGCGGAGGA
rnacentral:misc_RNA from 1 species